CCCUGGACUAAGAGUGAUGCCAAACUUGGUGACUCUCCCAUGUAAGGCUCCAAGGCCCAGGUGAAGAACAAGGACAAGGAUAAGGACAAGGACAAAGACAAAGACAAGUCCAAGGCACCCAAAGAUGACAAGAAAAAGAAGCAGCAACCAGUCCCGGAGCUCCCUGAGAAGAAGAACAAGCAGAAGAUUGAUGAACUCAAGGUCUUCAACAAAGAGCUGGAAUCAGAGUUUGACAACUUUGAGGAUUGGCUGCACACCUUCAACCUGCUGCGGGGGAAGAUUGGGGACAACGACGACAACGCCACAGAGGAGGAGCGAAUAGUGGGGAGGUUCAAGGGCUCCAUGUGUGUCUACAAAGUACCGCUCCCUGAUGACAUCAGCAAGGAGGCAGGAUACGACCCCACCUUCGGGAUGUUCCAGGGGAUCCCCAGCAAUGACCCCAUCAACGUGCUGGUCCGAGUCUACAUCGUGAGGGUGAGUGGGAAUUUGGGGUGUGGCAG